AUUGAACGCUGGCGGCAUGCCUUACACAUGCAAGUCGAACGGUAACGGGCCUUCGGGUGCCGACGAGUGGCGAACGGGUGAGUAAUGUAUCGGAACGUACCUUUCAGUGGGGGAUAACGUAGCGAAAGUUACGCUAAUACCGCAUAUUCUGUGAGCAGGAAAGCAGGGGACCGCAAGGCCUUGCGCGGACGGAGCGGCCGAUGGCAGAUUAGGUAGUUGGUGGGAUAAAAGCUUACCAAGCCGACGAUCUGUAGCUGGUCUGAGAGGACGACCAGCCACACUGGGACUGAGACACGGCCCAGACUCCUACGGGAGGCAGCAGUGGGGAAUUUUGGACAAUGGGCGCAAGCCUGAUCCAGCCAUGCCGCGUGCAGGAUGAAGGCCUUCGGGUUGUAAACUGCUUUUGUACGGAACGAAAAGACUCUUUCUAAUAAAGAGGGUCCAUGACGGUACCGUAAGAAUAAGCACCGGCUAACUACGUG
rnacentral:rRNA from 1 species